rnacentral:rRNA from 1 species
GAUCAUUAUUGAAUAAACCUGAUAAGUUGCUGCUGGCUCUCUAGGGAGCAUGUGCACACUUGUCAUCUUUAUAUCUCCUCCUGUGCACCUUUUGUAGACUUGAAUAUCUCUCUGAAUGUGCGCAAGCGGAUUCAGGUUUGAGGAUCUGGCUUGGCAACUUGUCUUUCCUUGUAUUCAAGUCUAUGUUUUCAUAUACCCAAUGUAUGUCAUAGAAUGUUAUAAAUGGGCUUAUAUGCCUAUAAACCUAUUACAACUUUCAGCAACGGAUCUCUUGGCUCUCGCAUCGAUGAAGAACGCAGCGAAAUGCGAUAAGUAAUGUGAAUUGCAGAAUUCAGUGAAUCAUCGAAUCUUUGAACGCACCUUGCGCUCCUUGGUAUUCCGAGGAGCAUGCCUGUUUGAGUGUCAUUAAUAUAUCAACYUCUUCAGCUUUUGCUUGUUGAGUGUUGGAUGUGGGGGUYUCUUUUGCUGGUCUUCUUGUGAGGUCAGCUCCCCUAAAAUGUAUUAGCGGAACAAUUUGUUGACCGUUCAUUGGUGUGAUAAUUAUCUACGCUAUUGACGUGARGCAGAGUUCAGCUUCUAAUAGUCCAUUGACUUGGACAAUUUUCAUUAAUGUGACCUCAAAUCAGGUAGG